rnacentral:rRNA from 1 species
UACGUAGGAGGCAAGCGUUGUCCGGAGUUACUGGGCGUAAAGCGCACGCAGGCGGUCGCAUCAGUCUGGGGUGACAGUUCCCGGCCUAACCGGGAAAGUGCUCUGGAAACUGUGCGACUUGAGGGCUUCAGAGGGAUGUGGAAUUCCAGGUGGAGUGGUGAAAUGCGCAGAUAUCAGGAGGAACACCGGUGGCGAAGGCGGUUCUCUGGGCCUGUACUGACGCUGAGGAGCGAAAGCGUGGGGAGCGAACAGG